rnacentral:rRNA from 1 species
CCAAUAGCGUAUAUUAAAGUUGUUGCAGUUAAAAAGCUCGUAGUUGAAUUUCGGGAUCAAUAUGUUGGUCGUGCCAUCGGUACGUACUGGCAUUAUUGGUUUCUACCUUCUGAAGAACCUCGAUGUCAUUAAUUUGGUGUCUUGGGGAAUCAGGACUGUUACUUUGAAAAAAUUAGAGUGUUUAAAGCAGGCUCGCGCUUGAAUACAUUAGCAUGGAAUAAUGAAAUAGGACGUUUGAUUCUAUUUUGUUGGUUUCUAGGAUCGACGUAAUGAUUAAUAGGGAUAGUUGGGGGCAUUAGUAUUCAAUUGUCAGAGGUGAAAUUCUUGGAUUUAUUGAAGACUAACUACUGCGAAAGCAUUUGCCAAGGAUGUUUUCAUUAAUCAAGAACGAAAGUUAGGGGAUCGAAGACGAUCAGAUACCGUCGUAGUCUUAACCAUAAACUAUGCCGACUAGGGAUCGGAUGAUGUUAAUUUUUUAAUGACUCAUUCGGCGCCUUACG